rnacentral:rRNA from 1 species
UAGUCAAUGCUCGAAAGAGUGAACUAGCUAACUGAAAUCAUCGAUGUGUCAUUGAUGAUAACGUAAGGGAAAAUAAUGAUAUUACCUUACUAUUAGUGUCGUCCAAAUACUCGUGCCAGAAGACUCGGUAAGGCGAGAGACGCAAACGUUAGUCGUCUUGAUCAGGCGUAAAGGGUUUGUAGGCGGCUUUAAGAAUUUUUAUGUUACAAAUUUACUAUUAAUUUAUAUAAUUAAUUUACUAUUAAUUUAUAUAAUUAAUUUAAGUAACUAAGAAUCAUUUAAAGCUAGAAUCAAAAAGAGGUUAAUCUAUUUAAUGCUUAUUGUAAGGUUGAUAUCCGUAAAUAAUAAGUAGAAAACUAUGGGCGAAGGCUUUUUUCCAAUAAUGAUUGACGCUGAGAAACUAAGGUGAGGACAGAAAAAAGGAUUAGAGACCCUAGUAUCCCUCACUGUCAACAAUGAAUGGAAGUGACUAGAAUAAAACUAGAGGCGAUGUUAACACGAAAAACCAUUCCGCCUUGUGAGUACGACUGCAAAGUUGAAAACAAAAAAAUUAGUCGGUUUCGGAGCAAACGAAGUGAAGCAUGUUAUUUAAUU